UACGGGGGGGGCUAGCGUUGUUCGGAAUUACUGGGCGUAAAGGGCGCGUAGGCGGUCUGCUAAGUUGGAUGUGAAAACUCUGGGCUUAACCCAGAGCCUGCAUUCAAUACUGACAGGCUAGAGUUCUGGAGGGGAUAGCGGAAUUCCUGGUGUAGCGGUGAAAUGCGUAGAUAUCAGGAGGAACACCGGUGGCGAAGGCGGCUAUCUGGACCGGUACUGACGCUGAGGCGCGAAAGCUAGGGUAGCAAACAGG
rnacentral:rRNA from 1 species